GAUGAACGCUGGCGGCGUGCCUAAUACAUGCAAGUCGAGCGCACAGACGAGGAGCUUGCUCCUCUGACGUUAGCGGCGGACGGGUGAGUAACACGUGGAUAACCUACCUAUAAGACUGGGAUAACUUCGGGAAACCGGAGCUAAUACCGGAUCAUAUAUUGAACCGCAUGGUUCAAUAGUGAAAGACGGUUUUGCUGUCACUUAUAGAUGGUUCCGCGCCGCAUUAGCUAGUUGGUAAGGUAACGGCUUACCAAGGCAACGAUGCGUAGCCGACCUGAGAGGGUGAUCGGCCACACUGGAACUGAGACACGGUCCAGACUCCUACGGGAGGCAGCAGUAGGGAAUCUUCCGCAAUGGGCGAAAGCCUGACGGAGCAACGCCGCGUGAGUGAUGAAGGUCUUCGGAUCGUAAAACUCUGUUAUUAGGGAAGAACAAAUGUGUAAGUAACUAUGCACGUCUUGACGGUACCUAAUCAGAAAGCCACGGCUAACUACGUG
rnacentral:rRNA from 1 species